UCUCUCUCUCUCUCUCUCUCUCUCUCACUUUGGUUUUUCUCUUUGAUUAAACGAUUAUUUAGCCAACAAGGGUUUCAGUGAGAGAUUUGGGGCCCUUCCUAUUUCAAAUGCCCACAUCUGUUCUUUGGGAUGAAAGUUUAUGAAGUUGAACUCAUUUUUGUUUUUCUGGUUUGGUUCAGAUCAAAUGCUUUCCAGAAAAAGAAGAAGAAGUUUCACAUGUAGAGGAGAAUGUCAGAUUUCAUGGCUCUGAUGGAUUUUUUAUUCAUUUCCACUUCCAGGUAUAUUGUUAUUUCUUCAGAUUGGUUGUGUUUUAUUAGUUCUGGUAGCAUGCAAGGGAGGCCAAAGAGGAAAUCGUUUUGUUGAACUCAACUUAUUGAGGACAAGCUGAUGUUCUAGUCUACUUGGAACUUAACCUGUAGUUUUUGUAUGCCUUUUGUUUUUUUUCCUUAUAUAUAUAUAUAUAUAUAUAUGUGCAUUUAAAUUAU